rnacentral:rRNA from 1 species
GAUGGACGCUGGCGGCGUGCCUAACACAUGCAAGUCGAGCGAUUCUCUUCGGAGAAGAGCGGCGGACGGGUGAGUAACGCGUGGGUAACCUGCCCUGUACACACGGAUAACAUACCGAAAGGUAUGCUAAUACGAGAUAAUAUGCUUUUGUCGCAUGGUAGAAGUAUCAAAGCUCCGGCGGUACAGGGUGGACCCGCGUCUGAUUAGCUAGUUGGUAAGGUAACGGCUUACCAAGGCGACGAUCAGUAGCCGACCUGAGAGGGUGAUCGGCCACAUUGGAACUGAGACACGGUCCAAACUCCUACGGGAGGCAGCAGUGGGGAAUAUUGCACAAUGGGCGAAAGCCUGAUGCAGCAACGCCGCGUGAGCGAUGAAGGCCUUCGGGUCGUAAAGCUCUGUCCUCAAGGAAGAUAAUGACGGUACUUGAGGAGGAAGCCCCGGCUAACUACGUGCCAGCCGCCGCGGUAA